rnacentral:rRNA from 1 species
UACGAAGGGGGCUAGCGUUGCUCGGAAUCACUGGGCGUAAAGGGUGCGUAGGCGGGUCUUAAGUCAGGGGUGAAAUCCUGGAGCUCAACUCCAGAACUGCCUUUGAUACUGAGAAGCUUGAGUCCGGGAGAGGUGAGUGGAACUGCGAGUGUAGAGGUGAAAUUCGUAGAUAUUCGCAAGAACACCAGUGGCGAAGGCGGCUCACUGGCCCGGUACUGACGCUGAGGUGCGAAAGCGUGGGGAGCAAACAGG